UACAGAGGUCUCAAGCGUUGUUCGGAUUCACUGGGCGUAAAGGGAGUGUAGGCGGUUCGGUAAGUGGGAUGUGAAAUCCCCGGGCUCACCCCGGGACCUGCAUCCCAUACUGCUGAGCUUGAGUACAGGAGAGGGUGGGGGAAUUCCUGGUGUAGCGGUGAAAUGCGUAGAUAUCAGGAGGAACACCGGUGGCGAAGGCGCCCACCUGGCCUGCUACUGACGCUGAUGCUCGAAAGCUAGGGGAGCAAACAGG
rnacentral:rRNA from 1 species